CAACUUUUGUUGAUAAUUUACGCACUCACCUGAUGAUUGUUCCUCCAACAACAAACAACUUUACCACCACUGAAGCAGUCUGUAGUAACAGCAUCUCGUGCAGGCUACUUAACGAUCGUGAACCCAACACUACGCAACAUCAGCAGCACUACCCGGCUGGCAAUUGACGUUUCAUACUAUGGCGAGGGGUGUUGAAACGCAUGGAAGAGCAGGAAGAAACACGGACGAGCGCUGAUGAACUGCAACUGUGUGCGUGCAACAGUACCAAACGGCAUGUGACGACGGACAGUGUGUGGAUGUGUGUGUAAUUUUAGGCAGCGAAGAUGGAUCGAGGUUAUGUUUACAAAGUGAAAGAGUUUGAUGUAGAAGCGUCUUUGUGAUAAACGUGUAUUUUAUUUGCAUAAUUUCAGUGUUAAAGUUUGUAAUGUGAACUUAAAAGUAAUGACCAAUGGUGCUAUUCACUUGUGUGCUGUUGGCGAAUAUUGAAGCGUUAAAAUAUUGAAGCUUCCUAUGUUACUUUGUUGUGCUUAGUGUGAAGCAAAAAUGUGUGCUAAAGUGUUAUAAAUUAGAAAAAUGUAUACGUAUCCGUCUAAUGUUUGGUUGUACCUAUCUAAUUUUCCAUAUUUUCGGGUGUCCUUAUCGUUUACCAGGAGAAAACGAUAGAUGGAGGUUAGAUACGUGCAGCUAUUUGCCUCCGCAGGAAGUGUUCUUCAGAAGUGUUCCAAGCUGUCCGAAGACACACAAAUCCGCAAUCCACAAUCCAAGCACACAAAUCCGAUUCACCUCGUAUGCACCCAGCGGAUUUCAUGCAAAGGAUAUUGGAAAGCCAUCAAAGAAGUGGGCAUGAUGGAAAGGACACUUUGAUUCUUUUUACUUUCAGAUUUCUUAUCCUUAUUUUUGUUUACACCAACCUUGGAUCGUCGGCGCGGGCCUUAUGGGAACUGCGCGGUUAGAGCAACAACCGGAUGAGCAUUUUGUUGCAGGCGGAAAUUGUCUGAAGUUUGGGAAUUGAAGAGAGUUACAGCACACUGUGAACAUCGUUGUAAACAAUUGAUGGUAACAUUUAUAUAUAUAGCUUAUGAAUGCAUGUGUUUAUCUAAUUAUUCAUUAAUUCGUUUAUUUAUUAAUUUAAGCGUUAGCGCUCCAUCGACAUAUGUUUUUUGUUGUUCUUUUUAGAAAAUUGCUCUAACGGAACAGCUUAUCCCGGCCUUUCUCGGGUUUAGUUGCUGUUGCUUGACCGCGACGAUUGACACCAGAGCUUGCUAUGGUCGUAUUGUCGUCGUGUAAUCGUGUUAUUGCUGUUAACGCGCUUUGUUUAUAUCUAUUAAGAUGCAACAGCAUUAUUUAUUUUCCGGAAUAUGGUUAGCGUUGUUCCUCCUAAUAAGACGGAAUACGUUUGAAAUUAGCACCUGUGUCAAUCGUCCAACGGUUGGCAAUAAAGUACAAUAAAUGAUAGGAGCAAAAACGCGAUGGCUGUUAGUGAUUUGCGAAAUGAAACCAACAGCCAUUUUACAUUUUUUAUCUUAAACAAGUCCUAUCUUAACUCCUGAAAACUACCAAAGCUACAAUUUUUCAUUUCAUUUGUCAUUCAUCAUUCUAUUUAGAAAAGAAUAGAUAAAAGGUGUAAUAUAGUAUCAAUAGGACAUUACAAUUAAUAAAAAUGGAAAAGCAAUGUGUUUAUCAAUAAAUAAUAUGUAAUAUAUAUACAGCAACUAUAAAUAGGUAGAGCAAUUGAACUAAAUAAAUUUAUUUUUAUUUAUUCCUUCUAUGGCAGCUUGUUUUAACAUUUCCCUGCAUGUUUACUCUUGCCGGUGCAUGUGUCAGUUUUCUUUUUAAAUAUUCUUUAUCAUAUUCUAUAUCUACGUCUAUUCCCACGUGGUUUGUAGCGAUAGACUGCACUGUAUUUGGGUAGUUACUAAAAGCUAUUUUUUCCUGACGAUCCUUCCCAGGUACACCGUGCAAGAAAAGUCCCAUCAAACAACACGUCUAAGUCUAGCCUCAUGCAUCCUGUUGUUGGCAUCCUGGCUGCUGAUAUCUGCAUCUAUUAUUUAAGUAUAACUGCCAAAUGCAAAAUCAUCUCCAGCUAUUUUUGCUUCAAAUGCAUCAAACUUUUGUUCAUUUUCGAUUUUUUCUAUUGCUAAACUCUGCGCAUUUCUUCUUAUACCCUUCAUAGGAUUCAGUAUUGUGGACUGCUCAUUUAAAAUCACCAUUAUCUGUGCGCUGCGUGCAUCUAUUUUCAUUAACAGCAUCCGACAACGAAGGCAGCAGCUUCCAGAAUGCUCUGUAGAAGUAAUUGAAAAGACUGCUUGAUUUGCUUCUGCUGCAGUCUGGUGUUCAUCGUCGGUGAUCAUCAUUAUUGGUGACGAAGGCAGCACAGGCAAAUUUAUCACAACAGGACCAGUUGCUCGUCCAGUCGUUAUGUACGUUAUGCGCUUGUCGAUGGCACUUAAUUACCACCAUCAACUAUCUUGCCUGGCGGACGGAUCUGGCUAGGAACACAGGUAAAAAAUUGCUCUGAUAUAGCAGUACUCGUUGAUGGUUUUUGAACAUUAACGCUGAUCAUUUUGGCUGGUGUACGGCUCACAAUAAGAAGAACACAGAAGCACUGGUGGGUAAUUGUUGUCUUACAACAGCGGACAUCAUAUCACGCUGAUUCUUCGGAGCAUGAACUUCGACAAGCGAUGCAAUCGAUGGUACUGCAGAACCCGCCAAUGCCUGUUGUCUACCGAUCUUCAUACCUGAUUCCUGUGGUAGAGCAUCAGCAACCGGUACCACUGAUGGCGCAGCAGUACUAGUUGACGGUUGCUGUCCAUGUUGCUGGCCUAACGGACGGAAUGGUGCAAGAACAUCAGGUAAUGUGGACCGAUGAUGAUUAUGAUCACCGGCAUUCGAGACCAGCGCUGACACUUCAUCCGUUACCUUCUGCUGUUCAUCAACACGGACUGGCAUUCUUUGUUGACUCGCGCUGACCGGCCACUGAAACCACCGAAGGCACUGCACUUGUUGUCGGAAGUUGUCCAACAACACGGACCGGCAAUCUGGGGGGACGUAUAGCACGAGGAAUGGCAACCGGAACCACCGAUGGCACUGCACUUGUCGUCGGAAGUUGUCCAACAACACGGACUGGUACAUCUGACUGACGAAGCUACUUAUCACAUACCCGCGUUUUAUGUCCCCAUUCUUGGUGUUUCCGGGUUACUCGCCAUCGCGCUGUAGUCGGAUCAUACUGCACCUGUCCUGCUUCGAUUAAUGCCUCCCCAAAGACAAAAUUAGAGCACGCGUUCCUAUUCCUCAUCCUCCGGCGCUGUCUGGAGAAUGUGGGAGUCACUGCUCUAUAAAAACCACCGGACUACCACAAACUGGAAACAGCGGAAAACCCCGUGGGUCACCGGCCACCAUGCUAAAUUGAAGCAAAGUUGAACUAAUCUGCCGUGCGAAAUAGCAAAAAAAAUAUUUCAUUUUAAUGUUUUAUUAAGCUAAACUGACAUUAUAUUUUUAAUCUAAAACGUUUUUGAUGUGUUUUUUUCUCAUCGCGUUUAGGCGUCGUGUAUCAGAUUGCAACUGCUAAUAAUUUCGUCGUCUGAGGCGGAAUGUUAUGGAGGUACCAAAUCUUCAGUGAUGAUGAAUGCGUUCACGCUUCUACGAGCCGGUAAUUGGCGGUAUCCAGAUUAUCGUCGUACUGUUAGCUUACCUAAGCUACCGAAAUUAGCGACAGUGUAAAAUGCAAGAGAAAGACAAAUUGACAAUAUAAUUAAAAUUAAUGGUUUACAUGGAUUGCGCUCCACUAACAAUAUUUUUCUCUUAUAUUGUCUAUUUCAGCUGUGCUGUAAGAAUUACGAAUGGUCGUGGUAGACGCAUUAGGAUUGCAAGGCGAUAAUUGCGCUCUGAAAAUGCUAGCACAGAUGUUUGGGCCACAGAGGUGACGUUCCGAGAUUGUAAAAACAUGCCGGGCCCACAGUUUCAGAUAAGCCGUUCUCAUCAUAGCCGUACCAUGUACGGUCGGCUAGUUACACUUCAUCACGAAGGACAAUCACAUCUAGAUGACGGAAUGCUGUCAAAACGAUGAAGCUGGCUUAGUCCUCGAUGACGACGCAACUCCUGUACGUUCGUCGUCAUACUAUCAUUUUAACUGGAAGCAUGUUUGUUUAGGCGGCUACAACAAAUUGUUUGAACAUGUUCAAUGAAACAAACAUGUUGUUUUGGCUUCUCACAAUUAUUGAUGAAUGCUGGAAAUCUCCGUGAUAGCCGUUUUCUUGCGCUGAAUUAGGUUUGUAUGAAAAAUAGUGUAUUUUUAGAAUAUUUAAUUAUCAAUAAAAUAACGGUCAAUUUGAAAA